ensembl:snRNA U6 U6 spliceosomal RNA
AUGCUCGCUUCAGCAGCAUAUGUACUAAAAUUGGAACAAUACAGAGACGAUUAGCACGGUCCUUGCACAAGGAUGACAUGCAAAUUCAUGAAGUCUUCCGUAUUUUC